GACGGAGGGUGCAAGCGUUGUUCGGAAUUACUGGGCGUAAAGGGCGCGUAGGCGGUCUGUUAAGUUCGGUGUGAAAGCCCCCGGCUCACCUGGGGAACUGCGCCGGAAACCGACAGACUCGAGUACCGGAGAGGAGGGUGGAAUUCCUGGUGUAGCGGUGGAAUGCGCAGAUAUCAGGAGGAACACCGGUGGCGAAGGCGGGUCUCUGGGCAGUAACUGACGCUGGAGGAGCGAAAGCGUGGGGAGCGAACAGG
rnacentral:rRNA from 1 species